rnacentral:rRNA from 1 species
GAUGAACGCUGGCGGCGUGCCUAAUACAUGCAAGUCGAGCGAACGGACGAGAAGCUUGCUUCUCUGAUGUUAGCGGCGGACGGGUGAGUAACACGUGGAUAACCUACCUAUAAGACUGGGAUAACUUCGGGAAACCGUAGCUAAUACCGGAUAAUAUUUUGAACCGCAUGGUUCAAAAGUGAAAGACGGUCUUGCUGUCACUUAUAGAUGGAUCCGCGCUGCAUUAGCUAGUUGGUAAGGUAACGGCUUACCAAGGCAACGAUGCAUAGCCGACCUGAGAGGGUGAUCGGCCACACUGGAACUGAGACACGGUCCAGACUCCUACGGGAGGCAGCAGUAGGGAAUCUUCCUCAAUGGGCGAAAGCCUGACGGAGCAACGCCGCGUGAGUGAUGAAGGUCUUCGGAUCGUAAAACUCUGUUAUUAGGGAAGAACAUAUGUGUAAGUAACUGUGCACAUCUUGACGGUACCUAAUCAGAAAGCCACGGCUAACUACGUG